GCUGGUGAUUGGCAAUAUAACGAC
rnacentral:miRNA from 1 species